GUGCGUCAGGCGGCUGUGGGCCUGGGAGGCCCUGCGCCUCUCAUCGGGGUAGUGCAGUGGGGCAUCUCAUGAGAGGUGCUCCACACCGGGACCCUUCACGUCCCCGGGUCUCACUGGCCGGAGUAGCCGCCUCUCACCUGCACUUCCUUCCGCCCGCCCAUUCAGUCUCACCUGUUAUUGCUGUAGACUCCCUGGGUGUCUUCUGUGAGAAAAACAGUGCUGAACUCCAUCUGCUGCUCUUCAUGCGUGAAGACGUGUGUGGUGACCCAGUCGCACCAAGGUGUGUGUUUGGGUUGUUGGUUUUCCUGGGCAGUGGGAAUGGAAUGGGUGAUCCAUCCACCCUCACCCAGGAAGCUGUUGGCACCUCCAGAGAGUGGGAAGUGCCCCUCAGCCACCCUGCGCGGUGAGUAGCAUCAGGCUGCCCAGGGAGUGCACUGGAUUUGCUU
rnacentral:lncRNA from 1 species